CAGAUCUUUUUGCGGUCUGGGCUUGCUGUUAACACACCUCAACCCAGGAAGCCCUUACCCCAAAAAGCAUCUGCAGUCGACCUUAGCAUCACAAGCUAUUCUCCACAAUGUUAUGGAACGCAAAGGCGCAGUCAUCUAGCAGACUCCCAUCCAGAAAGACCCACAGGAGCAACCAGGGUCAACUGUCCCGCCCAAGGGCACAUCGACAGAUCCCCCACCCAGUCGACUUGGGGACCUAAACCAGUGACCUCUCCGCCACUGGGCCAAUGCUCCCAACCGCCAGGACACCCACUGCCCCCAAUCAUCCAA